rnacentral:lncRNA from 9 species
GCUUAGAUGCUGUCACUAAGAAUGUGCUUUUCUCUAGAUGCUGGAUGAGGAGGACACUGACAAAGACGGGAUGAGUUUGGAGGUCGACACUCCAGUGACGAACCAUCGGGGUGACGACGACGAUGACGAAGAAGAUCUCCCCGAGAUAGUGCUGGAUGACGUGCCUGCGGUGAGGGUGGCGGGACGGCCUCCAUUCGCUCCGCGGGUAAGUUGGGUUUUUAGUCUGAGCUCGCAGUGUUGCUCUAUUUCCCCUCCGUGGACAUUAAGUUAUGACAGCCUGAGCCUGCACGUUCCAGACCAUGUGGACGGUUCCGAGGGUUGGGACUCCAUGUCAGGCGCGUCUGUUGCCAACUCCCGAUGCCUGCUUCCGCAGGGCAAUGCGAUAACAACACCUGUCCCAGCCUGCAGAGGACAGAGCUCCUUCUCCAGAAGCAUCUUUUCCUCGAGGAAAGAGUUCUGUCAUCUCCAACUGACAUGGCCUUGGACAUCCCGUCGUCUAGGACAAGUUCUUGCCUUUGUCCCCGAGGAGGGUUUGCUCUGCCUUUGCUGGGUUCUCUGGACUCCACCGCUGUUGUGCAUCGGGGUUUCUGCUG